UAGACGUAUCAGAGGUAUGACAACUGUCACUGUGAGAGUAGAAUUUUAUAAAAUACUCCUGUCACAGACGUCUACAGGUGGAAAACUAUGUAAUGUAAUGUUAAUUAAUACGUUUAUAACGAUAAUUUCCACCUCCACUAGUUUCAUCUCUUUUUGUUUCGCAAUGUAUUAUGUUUUCCAUCUUUUGAGCUUUUUUGCCGGUUAUUAGCGUGCUCAUCACUGUAUACCAAAAACCUACUAAAAAAUAUUGCUUACUAGAAUUAAAAAAAAAUAUAUCAAAAAUCUAUCCAAAAAGUAGAAAUCUGCUGAAUGUGGCAACGCUGUUACAAAAUAAACACCACUGUCCAACUCAAAAUUCAAUUGUCAAAUAUUCUUCUUCUUUUCAAUUAGCCUUGUACCACAUAUAUUAGCGAUCUACAUUAUGUGUCGCCAUCUCUAAUUCCGGAAGCUCACUAUCCGCUGGGAGGGUUGACAUGGUGGGGAUACGCAUGUCGAUCGUCCUUCUCAUGGUGGCGAAAAUUGGAAGCUCCGUCCCACAAAUUAGCGUUGCCAGAGUUCGUACAAUUGUACCAAUUUGAAACAAAUAACAACCAAACUUGUGAUACUAAAGUAUCUAAAGUAAAAAUCUAAAAUUUUGUGAUAUAAGAAAUUUGCUUCAAAUAACAUUAAAUGACGUUUUUUUAAGUUUUUGUACAAAAUGUGUUGGUUUAGUACAUUUUGUGUCAAUAUUCCAGUGCAUGAGUGAAUUUAUAAAAAUUUCUCUGGCAACACCGUCACCUGCCGUGUACUGCUGGCUUCUGGCUUAUCAAAAUAUUCCGUUAAUUUUUUUAAAAUGCCACAUCACGGUUCUUGUGUCGUUUUUGACUGUCAUUUUACAUGGAGAAACAGUGGAAUGAAAUUCUUUCGCUUUCCUACAUCCAAAUAUAGGCAGGAUCAAAGAAAAAAAUGGAUUAAUGCUAUUCGAAGACAAAAAAUAUAAAGGCCAUAAAAUUUGGAAAAGAACAAAGAAGAGUCCAAAUCAUUGGUUAAUGAUAUGUUUUAUAGGGACUAUAUCAUAUAUUUUAAUGAAAGAAAAAAAAUGAGUACUGAACACAAAGCACAAUUAUUACAACCAAAUUCAAGGCAACUUAUAAUUAAUAAAAAGGAAGGUGUGCCACCUAGUGAUCUGGAUGCCUUCAGAAUCGAUCAUAUAUGAUGUCGGUAUUGAAGAAUGCUGCGAACACAAUAUAAAAUGAUUAAAAACAUUUUAUUUGAAUAAAUAAGUAUAUACCAUUUUUAUGUGGAAAUAAAGCACUUUACAAUUACA